rnacentral:rRNA from 1 species
UACAGAGGUCUCGAGCGUUGUUCGGAUUCAUUGGGCGUAAAGGGUGCGUAGGUGGCGUGGUAAGUCUGGUGUGAAAUCCCGGGGCUCAACCCCGGAACUGCACUGGAUACUGCCGUGCUUGAGUACUGGAGAGGAGAUUGGAAUUUACGGUGUAGCAGUGAAAUGCGUAGAUAUCGUAAGGAAGACCAGUGGCGAAGGCGAAUCUCUGGACAGCAACUGACGCUGAGGCACGAAGGCCAGGGGAGCAAACGGG